rnacentral:lncRNA from 1 species
AACAGGAAAUUAAAAAUAUUUAUAUGUAGUAAAUGCUGCAUUUGGGCGAGAGUCUAUCUGUGUGCGUGUGUGUGUGUGGGUGUGUGGCUGUUUGUUGCCUACUUUUUGGCAUAUUCUCCUGGUCCCUUUGUUUGAGGUUCUCGCUCUUCGCUCACUUGUUGGCCCGGGUUUUGUUUGACUGUUUGCAUUGUUUUCCACAUGGGCCACAUUAUUAUGAUGUCUCCUCGCUUUUCGCCUGAAUGAAGUGCAGCGCACAUAAGAGAGAGAGAGAGAGAGAGAGAGAGGGAGAGCUCUCUAGGGAUGCACGAAGCUCGUGUCGUGAGUGGCAGAAUUGCGGAAUGUGCAACAGAAACUCCGUGCAGCUGCUCACGCUUCCAUGUCUAGAUGCACACACUCGCACACUCUCUGACUCACGUAUCUGCUGGGGUCGCCUGUUGGCGUCAGCUUCGCGAUUUUUCAUCAAAGUCACGACGGGCAAAAGUUGGCGGCGAGAAGCUGCCGCUGCCACUGCCACUGCCACUGCCCCAUUGUUGCCUCUGACACUGACACCGGAAAUGAACACAUUUUCCGGUGGCAUACGUGGCAC